GCAAGUCGAACGGCAGCACGGGGUAACCUGGUGGCGAGUGGCGAACGGCUGAGUAAUAUAUCGGAACAUACCCUAGAGUGGGGGAUAACGUAGCGAAAGUUACGCUAAUACCGCAUACGAACUAAGGUUGAAAGUGGGGGCUCGCAAGACCUCAUGCUCAUGGAGUGGCCGAUAUCUGAUUAGCUAGUUGGUAGGGUAAAAGCCUACCAAGGCGACGAUCAGUAGCUGGUUUGAGAGAACGACCAGCCACACUGGAACUGAGACACGGUCCAGACUCCUACGGGAGGCAGCAGUGGGGAAUUUUGGACAAUGGGGGCAACCCUGAUCCAGCAAUGCCGCGUGAGUGAAGAAGGCCUUCGGGUUGUAAAGCUCUUUUGUCAGGGAAGAAACGGUGGUGUCUAAUACAUGCUACUAAUGACGGUACCUGAAGGAUAAGCACCGGCUAACUACGUGCCAGCAGCCGCGGUAAUACGUAGGGUGCAAGCGUUAAUCGGAAUUACUGGGCGUAAAGCGUGCGCAGGCGGUUAUAUAAGUCAGAUGUGAAAUCCCUGGGCUCAACCUAGGAACUGCAUUUGAGACUGUAUGGCUAGAGUGUGUCAGAGGGGGGUAGGAUUCCACGUGUAGCAGUGAAAUGCGUAGAUAUGUGGAGGAAUACCGAUGGCGAAGGCAGCCCCCUGGGAUAACACUGACGCUCAUGCACGAAAGCGUGGGGAGCAAACAGGAUUAGAUACCCUGGUAGUCCACGCCCUAAACGAUGUCUACUAGUUGUUGGGUCUUAAUUGACUUAGUAACGCAGCUAACGCGUGAAGUAGACCGCCUGGGGAGUACGGUCGCAAGAUUAAAACUCAAAGGAAUUGACGGGGACCCGCACAAGCGGUGGAUGAUGUGGAUUAAUUCGAUACAACGCGAAAAACUUACCUACCCUUGACAUGGUUGGAAUUC
rnacentral:rRNA from 1 species